GACGAACGCUGGCGGCGUGCCUAAUACAUGCAAGUAGAACGCAGUUUCGAACGGGUGAGUAACGCGUAGGUAACUGCCUCAUAGCGGGGGAUAAAUAUUGGAAACGAUAGCUAAUACCGCCUACUGUGAGAUGGACCUGCGUUGUUAUAGGUAGGUGGUGAGGUAAAGGGUCACCAAGGCGACGAUACAUAGCCGACCUGAGAGGGUGAUCGGCCACACUGGGAACGAGACACGGCCCAGGCUCCUAAGGGAGGGAGCAGGAGGGAAUUUUCGGAAAUGGGCGGAAAGCCUACCGAGGAAAGCCGGGGGAGUGAAGAAGGUUUUCGGAUCGGAAAGCUCUGUUGUUAGGGGAGCGGUAACUAAACAGAAAGGGCCGGCUAACUACGUGCCAGCCGCCGCGGUAAUAC
rnacentral:rRNA from 1 species